CCUACGGGAGGCAGCAGUGGGGAAUAUUGCACAAUGGGGGAAACCCUGAUGCAGCGACGCCGCGUGAGGGAUGAAGUAUUUCGGUAUGGAAAGCUCUAUCAGCAGGGAAGAAAAUGACGGUACCUGACUAAGAAGCCACGGCUAACUACGUGCCAGCAGCCGCGGUAAUACGUAGGGGGCAAGCGUUAUCCGGAUUGACUGGGUGUAAAGGGAGCGUAGACGGCUGUGCAAGCCAGAUGUGAAAGCCCGGGGCUCAACCCCGGGACUGCAUUUGGAACUGUGUGGCUGGAGUGUCGGAGAGGCAUGCGGAAUUCCUAGUGUAGCGGUGAAAUGCGUAGAUAUUAGGAGGAACACCAGUGGCGAAGGCGGCCUGCUGGACGAUGACUGACGUUGAGGCUCGAAAGCGUGGGGAGCAAACAGGAUUAGAUACCCGAGUAGUC
rnacentral:rRNA from 1 species